GUGCUUGCUUCUGCAGCACUUAACGAUAAAAUUGAACAAUACAGAGAUGAUUAGUAUGGCCCUGCACAAAAAGGACAUGCAAACUUGUGAAGUGUUUCAUAUUUUU